GUUUACACGAGUGCCUUAAAUUG
rnacentral:piRNA from 1 species